rnacentral:rRNA from 1 species
UAAUACCUACGGGAGGCAGCAGUGAGGAAUAUUGGUCAAUGGCCGAGAGGCUGAACCAGCCAAGUCGCGUGAGGGAAGACGGCCCUACGGGUUGUAAACCUCUUUUGUCGGGGAGCAAAGCGAACCACGUGUGGUUCAUUGAGAGUACCCGAAGAAAAAGCAUCGGCUAACUCCGUGCCAGCAGCCGCGGUAAUACGGAGGAUGCGAGCGUUAUCCGGAUUUAUUGGGUUUAAAGGGUGCGCAGGCGGAGGGGCAAGUCAGCGGUCAAAUUGCGGGGCUCAACCCCGUAGUGCCGGUGAAACUGG